rnacentral:rRNA from 1 species
AACGCGAAGAACCUUACCUGGGCUCGAAAUGUAGUGGAUCGAGGUAGAAAUAUCUCUUUCUCGCAAGAGACUGCUAUAUAGGUGCUGCAUGGCUGUCGUCAGCUCGUGUCGUGAGAUGUUGGGUUAAGUCCCGCAACGAGCGCAACCCUUAUCUUUAGUUGCCAUCAGGUCAAGCUGGGCACUCUAACGAAACCGCCCCGGAUAACGGGGAGGAAGGUGGGGAUGACGUCAAGUCCUCAUGGCCUUUAUGUCCAGGGCUACACACGUGCUACAAUGGUCGGUACAAACCGUCGCAAACCUGCGAAGGGGAGCUAAUCGGAAAAAGCCGGCCUCAGUUCGGAUUGGAGUCUGCAACUCGACUCCAUGAAGCUGGAAUCGCUAGUAAUCGCAGAUCAGAACGCUGCGGUGAAUACGUUCCCGGGCCUUGUA